GAUGAACGCUGGCGGCGUGCUUAACACAUGCAACUCGAACGAAGCACCUUGAUUCGAUUCUUCGGAUGAAGAUCUUGGUGACUGAGUGGCGGACGGGUGAGUAACGCGUGGGUAACCUGCCUCAUACAGGGGGAUAACAGUUAGAAAUGACUGCUAAUACCGCAUAAGACCACAGCACCGCAUGGUGCAGGGGUAAAAACUCCGGUGGUAUGAGAUGGACCCGCGUCUGAUUAGGUAGUUGGGGGGGUAACGGCCUACCAAGCCGACGAUCAGUAGCCGACAUGAGAGGGUGACCGGCCACAUUGGGACUGAGACACGGCCCAAACUCCUACGGGAGGCAGCAGUGGGGAAUAUUGCAAAAUGGGGGAAACCCUGAUGCAGCGACGCCGCGUGAGCGAUGAAGUAUUUCGGUAUGUAAAGCUCUAUCAGCAGGGAAGAAAAUGACGGUACCUGACUAAGAAGCACCGGCUAAAUACGUG
rnacentral:rRNA from 1 species